rnacentral:tRNA from 1 species
GUCGCGGUGGAGUAAUGGUAUCUCGCUAGGCUCUCAACCUAGAGAUUGCGGGUUCGACCCCCGUCCGUGAUACUA